rnacentral:rRNA from 1 species
AAAUUGAAGAGUUUGAUCAUGGCUCAGAUUGAACGCUGGCGGCAGGCCUAACACAUGCAAGUCGAACGGUAGCACAGAGAGCUUGCUCUCGGGUGACGAGUGGCGGACGGGUGAGUAAUGUCUGGGAAACUGCCUGAUGGAGGGGGAUAACUACUGGAAACGGUAGCUAAUACCGCAUAACGUCGCAAGACCAAAGAGGGGGACCUUCGGGCCUCUUGCCAUCAGAUGUGCCCAGA